rnacentral:rRNA from 1 species
CAAGCUAGGAAGGGCAUACGGUGGAUGCCUUGGCGCACGAGGGCCGAAGAAGGACGUGGCAAGCUGCGAAAAGCUACGGGGAGCCGCAAGCGGGCGUUGAUCCGUAGGUCUCCGAAUGGGGCAACCCGGUCCGUCACGGCAGUGGCGGGUCACCGCACGCUGAACACAUAGGCGUGCGGGGGGCACCCGGCGAACUGAAACAUCUUAGUAGCCGGAGGAAGAGAAAGAAAAAUCGAACCCCUUAGUAGCGGCGAGCGAAGCGGGGCGAGCCCAAACCCGGCACUCGAUAGAGUGCUGGGGGUAGCGGGACUCCCAUAGAGCAAGAGUAGUAGACUUAGCCGAAGCGGUCUGGAAAGGCCCGGCAGAGGAGGUAACACCCCUGUAGGCGAAAAGUCGAGGCUUUUGCGGGAGCACCCAAGUACCACGGGGCACGUGGAAUCCUGUGGGAAUCCGGGAGGACCACCUCCCAAGGCUAAAUACCCUGUGCGACCGAUAGAGGACAAGUACCGUGAGGGAAAGGUGAAAAGCACCCCGGGAGGGGAGUGAAACAGGACCUGAAACCGUAUGCCUACGAGCAGUCAGAGCCCUAUUCGGUAGUCGGUAGUGAGUAGUCAGUAGUCAGAUUAAGAAGGAAUUCGGCUAAAGCCGAAUUCCCACAAGCAAUCCGGCAACAGACUACCGACUACUGACUACCGAAGGGUGAUGGCGUACUUUUUGUAGAACGGACCGGCGAGUUGCUUCUAGCGGGCGAGGUUAAGCGUGGCACACGCGGAGCCGCAGCGAAAGCGAGUCUUAAAAGGGCGGUAUAGUCCGCUGGAGCAGACCCGAAACCGGGUGAUCUACCCAUGUCCAGAGUGAAGCUAAAGUAAAGUUUAGUGGAGGCUCGAACCGACCGUCGUUGAAAAGGCGGCGGAUGAGGUGUGGGUAGGGGUGAAAUGCCAAUCGAACCCGGAAAUAGCUGGUUCUCCCCGAAAUAGCUUUAGGGCUAGCCCUGGUAAUGAAUACCGGAGGUAGAGCACUGAAUGGGCUAGGGGCCUUCACCGGUUACCGAACCCAAUCAAACUCCGAAUGCCGGGUAUUUGGAUACCAGGAGUCAGACUGCGGGUGCUAAGAUUCGUAGUCGAGAGGGAAACAGCCCAGACCGUCAGCUAAGGUCCCCAAGGCAGGCUAAGUGGGGAAGGAUGUGGAGUUGCCCGGACAACCAGGAUGUUGGCUUAGAAGCAGCCAUCAUUUAAAGAGUGCGUAAUAGCUCACUGGUCAAGUGGCUCUGCGCCGAAAAUGUAGCGGGGCUAAAGCCUGCCACCGAAGCUACGGAUUUCAGUAGUCAGUAGUGAGUAGUCAGUAGUCGGAGAGAGAGAAUUGGGGAGAAGCAUGGACUAAAGAAUAACCGACUACAGACAACUGACCACUGACUACUGAGAUGGUAGGGGAGCGUUCUGUAUGCGGCGAAGCUAUACCGUAAGGAGUAGUGGAGCGUACAGAAGCGAGAAUGCCGGUAUAAGUAAGCGAAAAGGCAGGUGAGAAUCCUGCCCGCCGAAAGCCUAAGGUUUUCUGGGGAAGGGUCGUCCGCCCAGAGUAAGCCGGGGCCUAAGCCGAGGCCGAAAGGCGUAGGUGAUGGAGAAUCGGUUGAUAAUCCGAUGCCACUGGCGGCCGUUUGAAGGAUGGGGUGACACAGGAGGGAAGGCUGAGCGUGCGGUUGGAAAGGCACGUCCAAGGCGGUAGGGUGGAAGGCAGGCAAAACCGUCUUCCGUAGAGCCUGAGAGCCGAAGGGGAGCGAAAAUAAGUAGCGAAGCAGCCCGUGCCCAUACUGUCAAGAAAAACCUCUAACGAGGCUUAGCCGGUGCCCGUACCGCAAACCGACACAGGUAGGCGGGGUGAGAAUCCUAAGGCGCGCGAGAGAACCCUCGUUAAGGAACUCGGCAAAAUGACCCCGUAACUUCGGGAGAAGGGGUGCCCCGUUAGCGUGAAGUACCGAGCGUAUGGAGCGCGAGGGGGCCGCAGAGAAAGGGCCCAAGCGACUGUUUACCAAAAACACAGGUCCCUGCCAAAUCGAAAGAUGACGUAUAGGGGCUGACGCCUGCCCGGUGCUGGAAGGUUAAGGGGAGGGGUUAGCGGCAACGCGAAGCUCUGAACCGAAGCCCCAGUAAACGGCGGCCGUAACUAUAACGGUCCUAAGGUAGCGAAAUUCCUUGUCGGGUAAGUUCCGACCCGCACGAAAGGCGUAACGAUUUGGGCGCUGUCUCGACGAGGGGCUCGGCGAACUUGUAAUACCCGUGAAGAUGCGGGUUACCUGCGACAGGACAGAAAGACCCCGUGGAGCUUUACUGCAACCUGAUAUUGGGUUUUGGUAUUGCAUGUACAGGAUAGGUGGGAGGCUGAGAUACCAGGACGCCAGUUUUGGUGGAGCCGUCGUUGGGAUACCACCCUUGGAGUAUUGAAGCUCUAACACAGCGCCGUGAAACCGGUGCGUGGACAGUGUCAGGCGGGCAGUUUGACUGGGGCGGUCGCCUCCCAAAAGGUAACGGAGGCGCCCAAAGGUUCCCUCAGCGCGGUUGGAAAUCGCGCGUUAGAGUGUAAAGGCAGAAGGGAGCUUGACAGCGAGACAUACAGGUCGAGCUGGGACGAAAGUCGGGCUUAGUGAUCCGGCGGUUUUGAGUGGAAGAGCCGUCGCUCAACGGAUAAAAGCUACCCCGGGGAUAACAGGCUUAUCUCCCCCAAGAGUCCACAUCGACGGGGAGGUUUGGCACCUCGAUGUCGGCUCAUCGCAUCCUGGGGCUGUAGUAGGUCCCAAGGGUUGGGCUGUUCGCCCAUUAAAGCGGUACGUGAGCUGGGUUCAGAACGUCGUGAGACAGUUCGGUCCCUAUCCGUCGCAGGCGCAGGAAACUUGAGAGGAGCUGUCCCUAGUACGAGAGGACCGGGAUGGACAGACCGCUGGUGUACCAGUUGUUCCGCCAGGAGCAGCGCUGGGUAGCCAAGUCUGGACGGGAUAAGCGCUGAAAGCAUCUAAGCGCGAAGCCCCCCUCGAGAUGAGGUUUCCCACAGUGUUAAGCUGGUAAGACCCCUGGCAGACUACCAGGUAGAUAGGCCGGAGGUGUAAGCUGGGCAACCAGUUGAGCUGACCGGUACUAAUAGGUCGAGGGCUUGA